CAGGGGGUAGUUCAGAAGGAAGAACGCCGGAAUCGGGGUCCGGAGGUCGAGGGUUCAAAUCCCUCCCCCCUGACCA
rnacentral:tRNA from 1 species